rnacentral:rRNA from 1 species
UACGGAGGAUCCAAGCGUUAUCCGGAUUUAUUGGGUUUAAAGGGAGCGUAGGCGGCCUGUUAAGUCAGAGGUGAAAGACGGUAGCUCAACUAUCGCAGUGCCUUUGAUACUGACGGGCUUGAAUACAGAUGAGGUGGGCGGAAUGUGACAAGUAGCGGUGAAAUGCAUAGAUAUGUCACAGAACACCGAUUGCGAAGGCAGCUCACUAAGCUGUGAUUGACGCUGAGGCUCGAAAGCGUGGGGAUCAAACAGG